CACAGAUCUACUAUUGUCGAACACCCUACCCACGCACGCCCUCUCUCUCUCUCUGAAGCUCUGUUGAAGGCUAGCUCAUUCAUCACAGCGAGAAACUUCGUGUUUGGUGUUGGCUUCCAAAUAGGCAAUGGAAGAUGGGAAGGAUAUAAUCAAUUUCAAGGGUGGAUAUUGUUAUUUCACUUUCACAUGGGGAAGUGGUGACAGUGUCCAGUGAAAAGCUAUUACCUAUAAAUCUAGAUAUCCUUGAGGGUGUUGAUGAUCUUAUUCAGCUUAUUUACCUGAAUUAGCCCUCAGUUCUCUACAACCUUCAGUACAGAUAUUCUCAUGAAAAGAUUUAUGUGAGCAUCAUUCUUGAUUUUAUUUUUCUGCUUAGUGUGAUGUUGGUUCCACCUCCAUUGCCUUUGUUGACUUCCUUUCCCAUUUAUCUUUCUGUAGACCAAAGUAGGGCUUGUUUUGGUUGCAAUCAACCCCUUUAAAGAGGUGUCUUUUUAUAGAAAUGAUUUUGUUACAGCCUAUAAAUAGAAACUUAUGGACAGUCCACAUGUAUACGCUAUAGUAGAUACUGCCUUCAAUGGGAUGAUUAGAGGAGGAAUGGAAGAAACCUACCAAAGGAUCCCCUAAUUUCACUGAAUUUUUGGAUUUGCAGCAUGAAAAUGCUAAUGUAUUAGCUUAUAUGCACCAAUAAUCUCACAUUUGACCGAAUUUUUGGAUCUGCAGCAUGAAAUGAAGAAAUUCACAAAGAAAUUUUUGUUUCUUUUUGUAUAACAAUUCUCCAAAUCCAAUUUUGGUGGGCCUUGUUUAAUCUUGUAUAUUGGAAUGGAAUACAUGCGGACACAGUUUUAAACUUGCUGGAUCGGUGAAAUUCAUGCUUCUUGACACAUGCAGUUGUCAUUUUAUAAUGGUAACAGAUUCAUAAAUUUGUUUAUUUAAUUCACUGUUCACUUAUUUUGUGGAUUAUGGUCCUUGUACAAGUUGAUGUGGAAGGGAUAUUGCUUGCUUUCUUCAAGGUAGAAGAAAGUUCUGCAUGUAGAAAGAAAGUUUACAAUAGCAUCAUCACAAAGUUCAGCUUUAUCUGCAAUACAGAGUUCACAUCAUUUUUUAUCAGAGUUUCUUAAUUGAAACUGUAAAGGAUGCUUAAUUUGUUAUAUUUUGCUACAUCUUGAAAUGCAAUUAUAUCUGGCCCCUGCCCU